ACAGCAGUAGCCACGGUAAUACGUAGGGUGCAAGCGUUAAUCGGAAUUACUGGGCGUAAAGCGUGCGCAGGCGGUUAUAUAAGACAGAUGUGAAAUCCCCGGGCUCAACCUGGGAACUGCAUUUGUGACUGUAUAGCUAGAGUACGGCAGAGGGGGAUGGAAUUCCGCGUGUAGCAGUGAAAUGCGUAGAUAUGCGGAGGAACACCGAUGGCGAAGGCAAUCCCCUGGGCCUGUACUGACGCUCAUGCACGAAAGCGUGGGGAGCAAACAGGAUUAGAUACCCGCGUAGUUCCUGUCUCUUAUAC
rnacentral:rRNA from 1 species